rnacentral:rRNA from 1 species
AACUCAAAGGAAUUGACGGGGACCCGCACAAGCGGUGGAGCAUGUGGUUUAAUUCGAAGCAACGCGAAGAACCUUACCAAAUCUUGACAUCCUCUGACCCCUCUAGAGAUAGAGUUUUCCCCUUCGGGGGACAGAGUGACAGGUGGUGCAUGGUUGUCGUCAGCUCGUGUCGUGAGAUGUUGGGUUAAGUCCCGCAACGAGCGCAACCCUUAAGCUUAGUUGCCAUCAUUAAGUUGGGCACUCUAAGUUGACUGCCGGUGACAAACCGGAGGAAGGUGGGGAUGACGUCAAAUCAUCAUGCCCCUUAUGAUUUGGGCUACACACGUGCUACAAUGGACAAUACAAAGGGUAGCGAAACCGCGAGGUCAAGCAAAUCCCAUAAAGUUGUUCUCAGUUCGGAUUGUAGUCUGCAACUCGACUAUAUGAAGCUGGAAUCGCUAGUAAUCGUAGAUCAGCAUGCUACGGUGAAUACGUU